rnacentral:rRNA from 1 species
GAACGCUGGCGGCGUGCCUAAUACAUUCAAGUCGAGCGAACGGACGAGAAGCUUGCUUCUCUGAUGUUAGCGGCGGACGGGUGAGUAACACGUGGAUAACCUACCUAUAAGACUGGGAUAACUUCGGGAAACCGGAGCUAAUACCGGAUAAUAUUUUGAACCGCAUGGUUCAAAAGUGAAAGACGGUCUUGCUGUCACUUAUAGAUGGAUCCGCGCUGCAUUAGCUAGUUGGUAAGGUAACGGCUUACCAAGGCAACGAUGCAUAGCCGACCUGAGAGGGUGAUCGGCCACACUGGAACUGAGACACGGUCCAGACUCCUACGGGAGGCAGCAGUAGGGAAUCUUCCGCAAUGGGCGAAAGCCUGACGGAGCAACGCCGCGUGAGUGAUGAAGGUCUUCGGAUCGUAAAACUCUGUUAUUAGGGAAGAACAUAUGUGUAAGUAACUGUGCACAUCUUGACGGUACCUAAUCAGAAAGCCACGGCUAACUACGUG